AACGAACGCUGGCGGCAUGCCUAACACAUGCAAGUCGAACGAGACCUUCGGGUCUAGUGGCGCACGGGUGCGUAACGCGUGGGAACCUGCCCUUAGGUUCGGAAUAACUCCCCGAAAGGGGUGCUAAUACCGGAUAAUGUCUUCGGACCAAAGAUUUAUCGCCUUUGGAUGGGCCCGCGUUGGAUUAGCUAGUUGGUAGGGUAAAAGCCUACCAAGGCGACGAUCCAUAGCUGGUCUGAGAGGAUGAUCAGCCACACUGGGACUGAGACACGGCCCAGACUCCUACGGGAGGCAGCAGUGGGGAAUAGUGGACAAUGGGCGACAGCCUGAUCCAGCAAUGCCGCGUGAGUGAUGAAGGCCUUAGGGUUGUAAAGCUCUUUUACCCGGGAUGAUAAUGACAGUACCGGGAGAAUAAGCUCCGGCUAACUCCGUG
rnacentral:rRNA from 1 species